CUGAUGCAGUGAUGAUUGCAUAGUUCAGCAGAUAACUGUGACGAACAAAGAUGUCUUUCGCUCCUAACUGAUGCGUCAG
ensembl:snoRNA